CAUAGGUUAAUGAGGCGAACCGGGGGAACUGAAACAUCUAAGUACCCCGAGGAAAAGAAAUCAACCGAGAUUCCCCCAGUAGCGGCGAGCGAACGGGGAGGAGCCCAGAGCCUGAAUCAGCAUGUGUGUUAGUGGAAGCGUCUGGAAAGGCGCGCGAUACAGGGUGACAGCCCCGUACACAAAAGCGCAUGUGCUGUGAGCUCGAUGAGUAGGGCGGGACACGUGGUAUCCUGUCUGAAUAUGGGGGGACCAUCCUCCAAGGCUAAAUACUCCUGACUGACCGAUAGUGAACCAGUACCGUGAGGGAAAGGCGAAAAGAACCCCGGCGAGGGGAGUGAAAAAGAACCUGAAACCGUGUACGUACAAGCAGUGGGAGCACCCUUUGGGGUGUGACUGCGUACCUUUUGUAUAAUGGGUCAGCGACUUAUAUUCUGUAGCAAGGUUAACCGAAUAGGGGAGC
rnacentral:rRNA from 2 species